rnacentral:rRNA from 1 species
UACGUAGGGUGCAAGCGUUAAUCGGAAUUACUGGGCGUAAAGCGUACGCAGGCGGCUUUGCAAGACAGGUGUGAAAUCCCCGGGCCUAACCUGGGAACUGCAUUUGUGACUGCAUAGCUAGAGUUUGUCAGAGGGUGGUGGAAUUCCACGUGUAGCAGUGAAAUGCGUAGAUAUGUGGAGGAACACCGAUGGCGAAGGCAGCCCCCUGGGAUGUGACUGACGCUCAUGUACGAAAGCGUGGGGAGCAAACAGG